rnacentral:rRNA from 1 species
CUGCAGCAGAAAUAACUAUGAUUCCCUUAGUAACGGCGAGUGAACAGGGAAAAGCCCAAAUUUGUAAUCUGGCACUUUUACGAGUGUCCGAGUUGUAAUUUGUAGAACUGUUAUCCGUGCUGGACCAUGUACAAGUCUGUUGAAAAGCAGCAUCAUUGAAGGUGAAAAUCCUGUAGAUGAUAUGGACUACCAGUGCAUUUGUGAUACGGUUUCUAAGAGUCGAGUUGUUUGGGAAUGCAGCUCAAAGUGGGUGGUAAAUUCCAUCUAAGGCUAAAUAUAAGUGAGAGACCGAUAGCAAACAAGUACCGUGAGGGAAAGAUGAAAAGAACUUUGAAAAUAGAGUUAACAGUACGUGAAAUUGCUGAAAGGGAAACGUUUGAAGUUAGUAUUGUAUUCGUUGGAUCAGCUUCGCAAGGAGUGUAUUCUGAUGAUAAGCAAGUCAACAUCAGUCUUUGGGUGUUGGAUAAGGGUUUUGAGGACGUAGCAAUUUAAUUGUGUUAUAACUUGAGACUUGGAUACAAUGCCUGGGAUUGAGGAACGCGUAGUAAGCUUUGAGCGGGUCAGAAAUGAUCUCCUUACUAUGGAUGUUGGUGAAAUAUCUUUAAGCGACCCGUCUUGAAACACGGACCAAGGAGUCUAACAUGCAUGCGAGUAUUAGGGCCUUGAAACCCGAAUGCGAAAUGAAAGUGAAUUUCAAAUGUGAUCCGCAAGGUGCAACAUUGACCGGUCCAGAUUAUUUAUAUGACGGUACUGAGUAAGAGCAUGUAUGUUAGGACCCGAAAGAUGGUGAACUAUGCCUGGAUAGGGUGAAGUCAGAGGAAACUCUGAUGGAAGCUCGUAGCGGUUCUGACGUGCAAAUCGAUCGUAGAAUCUGGGUAUAGGGGCGAAAGACUUAAUUCGAAACCCCAUU